rnacentral:rRNA from 1 species
AGAGUUUGAUCAUGGCUCAGGAUGAACGCUAGCGGCAGGCUUAACACAUGCAAGUCGAGGGGUAACAGAGGUAGCUUGCUAUUUGCUGACGACCGGCGCACGGGUGAGUAACGCGUAUACAAUUUGCCUUAUACUGGAGAAUAACCAAGAGAAAUUUUGACUAAUACUCCAUAGUAUAUAUGAAUCGCAUGGUUUAUAUAUUAAAGAUUUAUUGGUAUAAGAUGAGUAUGCGUCCUAUUAGUUAGAUGGUAAGGUAAUGGCUUACCAUGACUAUGAUAGGUAGGGGUCCUGAGAGGGAGAUCCCCCACACUGGUACUGAGACACGGACCAGACUCCUACGGGAGGCAGCAGUGAGGAAUAUUGGACAAUGGAGGCAACUCUGAUCCAGCCAUGCCGCGUGCAGGAAGACGGCCCUAUGGGUUGUAAACUGCUUUUAUACAGGAAGAAACCCACUCUCGUGAGGGUGGCUGACGGUACUGUACGAAUAAGCACCGGCUAACUCCGUGCCAGCAGCCGCGGUAAUACGGAGGGUGCAAGCGUUAUCCGGAAUCAUUGGGUUUAAAGGGUCCGUAGGCGGGCAAUUAAGUCAGAGGUGAAAUCCCACAGCUCAACUGUGGAACUGCCUUUGAUACUGGNUGUCUUGAAUUUUAGUGAAGUAGAUAGAAUAUGUAGUGUAGCGGUGAAAUGCAUAGAUAUUACAUAGAAUACCGAUUGCNANNGNAGUCUACUAACUAACAAUUGACGCUAAUGGACGAANCGUGGGGAGCGAACAGGAUUAGAUACCCUGGUAGNCCACACCGUAAACGAUGGAUACUANUUGUUGGGNNUNACCUCAGUGACUAAGCGAAAGUGAUNAGUAUCCCACCUGGGGAGUACGU